rnacentral:rRNA from 1 species
UCCUGGCUCAGAACGAACGCUGGCGGCGCGCCUAAUACAUGCAAGUCGAGCGAGAAGGUGUAGCAAUACACUUGUAAAGCGGCGAACGGGUGAGGAAUACAUGGGUAAUCUACCAUCGAGUGGGGAAUAACCAGCCGAAAGGUUGGCUAAUACCGCGUACGCUUCCGAGUCUUCGGGCUUGGAAGGAAAGCCGCACUGUGAGUGCGGCGCUCUUUGAUGAGCUCAUGUCCUAUCAGCUUGUUGGUAGGGUAACGGCCUACCAAGGCUUUGACGGGUAGCUGGUCUGAGAGGACGAUCAGCCACACUGGCACUGCGACACGGGCCAGACUCCUACGGGAGGCAGCAGUAAGGAAUAUUGCGCAAUGGGCGAAAGCCUGACGCAGCGACGCCGCGUGGGGGAUGAAGGUCUUCGGAUUGUAAACCCCUUUCGGGAGGGAAGAUGGAGCGAGCAAUCGUUCGGACGGUACCUCCAGAAGCAGCCACGGCCAACUUCGUG